rnacentral:lncRNA from 1 species
GGGACUUGGAGCCUCACUGAUUACACUGAGGAAUGGCAUGUGGAGUUCACGUGAGAAAUAUGGGUGUAAAAUGCAAAACAAUGCUUACAUCUUUUCUCCUUCAUGGUUCACUAAAAAGUGAGAGGCCAGAUUUCCUUGCCCUUUCUGGCUUGCCGGCAUCAGAGGUCUACUUAAAGGUGUCUGAACAGAAUAGUAAGUAUGAGUCUCCAUGCAGUUUCUUUGACACACACAGAAUACCCGUACAGUCAGUUUAUAUGGAA